CGGAAACAGGAAAUGUCAGGCAGCCGUGGCCUCCAAGCAGGACCCGGAAGUGUGGCGUUUCUUUGUGUUCUUCGGCGAACUCUUAAGGAAUAACUGUAGCUUGCGAGCUCAGGCGGGACCAUGCUGACUCGGCUGAAAGCAAAAUCAGAGGGGAAGCUUGCAAAACAGCUAUGCAGAGUUGUGCUGGAUCAGUUUGACAAACAGUAUUCGAAAGAACUUGGGGAUUGCUGGAGUAAAGUAAGGUCAGUAUGAUUCAUCCCUUGAUAUUUUGUGAGAGACCAGUGGAAGUAUGAGGUAAAUACCUCCUUGGUGAGAGCGGUCCAGCAAGAGCGUGGUAUAUAUUUUACAGGUAAAGGAAUCCCUCUCCUGCUUGAGCUGUAGAAAUGAGGGACAAAUCAAAAACAGAAGACAUAGUGAAAGUAAGGUUGAAUACCUUCUCAAUUUUAUCUGUAAAAUGGGAAUGUGCUAUAUUUUAAAACAAUGCUGUAAUAAAAAUCCUAACUUUGGAGAAUUCUAACGUUGUGAAAUUCAGAAGAUAACAAGUCCUUAAAGUCAGUGUUCUCUCUCUUGGCUAAAAGUCAGGCUUUAUUGGGCAAUUAUGAUCACCAUUACAUCUGUAUCUGGAACAGGUGCACAUGGACAGACCAAUCUAAAAGCUAAGUGGCCUUCAUGAUGGCUGUGGUUCAAAUGGUGGGGAGGGAAGGCAGUUGACGUUAGGUUGGUAGAUUGUGGGUUGUCUUUUGACCUCCAUGCUUAGCCAUACUCUAUCCCUGAAAUAAAUUCAACAAUUUCUAAAGUGACAAAUAUGACUUGUGUUUCGGUGAGUUUUUGUUUUCGAUCAGAAUGGUAGUGAAGAGGGUUUUGUAUGGGAUGCAUGAUUGGUAUAUAUGAUACCCUCUAGAAUACAAAGACAAUAUAGUCCUGUCUAGUUUACAUAAGUCUGUUCAUGGGAGAGGUACAAGGGAGGGGUACCUUAAACAUUCCAGAAACAUGCAUCAAUAAUAGGGCAUUUUAUUUAUUGCAGUGUGUGGGUGCCAGUGAAAGCCACUGGUGACUUUGGAAUUAACUUGGCAAAAGGACCAGAUAUUCAGGGCUGAGAGAAGGUUGCCAAUCUGUUUUGUACAGCUGAGAUGAAAAAGUGGGAUGACUGGAUAGUCUGGAACUUAGACAAUAAUGUUUCAAUUAUACCAUCUCUUCUGAGAUGAACUCAGUAGGUAUGUCUUUUCAUAGAACAACUUAAGCAUAUUUUGGAACAAAGAUGAAGUCUUAAUAAACUCAAGUGGGUCAAAGAUGAUUUUAGGAC
rnacentral:lncRNA from 1 species